ACCCGCUGAACUUAAGCAUAUCAAUAAGCGGAGGAAAAGAAACCAACAGGGAUUGCCUUAGUAGCGGCGAGUGAAGCGGCAAAAGCUCAAAUUUGAAAUCUGGCACUUUCAGUGUCCGAGUUGUAAUUUGAAGAAGGUAUCUUUGGGUCUGGCUCUUGUCUAUGUUUCUUGGAACAGAACGUCACAGAGGGUGAGAAUCCCGUGCGAUGAGAUGUCCCAGACCUAUGUAAAGUUCCUUCGAAGAGUCGAGUUGUUUGGGAAUGCAGCUCUAAGUGGGUGGUAAAUUCCAUCUAAAGCUAAAUAUUGGCGAGAGACCGAUAGCGAACAAGUACAGUGAUGGAAAGAUGAAAAGAACUUUGAAAAGAGAGUGAAAAAGUACGUGAAAUUGUUGAAAGGGAAGGGCUUGAGAUCAGACUUGGUAUUUUGUAUGUUACUCUCUCGGGGGUGGCCUCUACAGUUUACCGGGCCAGCAUCAGUUUGAGCGGUAGGAUAAGUGCAAAGAAAUGUGGCACUGCUUCGGUAGUGUGUUAUAGUCUUUGUCGAUACUGCCAGCUUAGACUGAGGACUGCG
rnacentral:rRNA from 1 species